rnacentral:rRNA from 1 species
GAUGAACGCUGGCGGCGUGCCUAAUACAUGCAAGUCGAGCGGACAGAUAAGGAGCUUGCGCCUUUGACGUUAGCGGCGGACGGGUGAGUAACACGUGGAUAACCUACCUAUAAGACUGGGAUAACUUCGGGAAACCGGAGCUAAUACCGGAUAACAUAUUGAACCGCAUGGUUCAAUAGUGAAAGGCGGCUUUGCUGUCACUUAUAGAUGGAUCCGCGCCGGAUUAGCUAGUUGGUAAGGUAACGGCUUACCAAGGCAACGAUCCGUAGCCGACCUGAGAGGGUGAUCGGCCACACUGGAACUGAGACACGGUCCAGACUCCUACGGGAGGCAGCAGUAGGGAAUCUUCCGCAAUGGGCGAAAGCCUGACGGAGCAACGCCGCGUGAGUGAUGAAGGUCUUCGGAUCGUAAAACUCUGUUAUCAGGGAAGAACAAAUGUGUAAGUAACUGUGCACAUCUUGACGGUACCUGAUCAGAAAGCCACGGCUAACUACGUG